GUCGAGAAUCUUUCACAAUGGGGGCAACCCUGAUGGAGCGACGCCGCGUGGAGGAUAAGGUCUUCGGAUUGUAAACUCCUGUCAUGCGUGAACAAGGUUGCUUGGUUAAUACCUGGGCAAAUUGAUGGUAACGCAAGAGGAAGAGACGGCUAACUCUGUGCCAGCAGCCGCGGUAAUACAGAGGUCUCAAGCGUUGUUCGGAAUCACUGGGCGUAAAGGGUGCGUAGGUGGCGUGGUAAGUCAGAUGUGAAAGCCCGGGGCUCAACCUCGGAACUGCAUCCGAUACUGCCAUGCUAGAGUACUGGAGAGGUGACUAGAAUUCUCGGUGUAGCAGUGAAAUGCGUAGAUAUCGAGAGGAAUACCAAAGGCGUAGGCAGGUCACUGGACAGUUACUGACACUGAGGCACGAAGGCCAGGGGAGCGAACGGGAUUAGAAACCCCUGUAGUC
rnacentral:rRNA from 1 species